rnacentral:rRNA from 1 species
GAUGAACGCUGGCGGCGUGCCUAAUACAUGCAAGUCGAGCGAACAGACGAGGAGCUUGCUCCUUUGACGUUAGCGGCGGACGGGUGAGUAACACGUGGGUAACCUACCUAUAAGACUGGGAUAACUUCGGGAAACCGGAGCUAAUACCGGAUAAUAUUUCGAACCGCAUGGUUCGAUAGUGAAAGAUGGCUUUGCUAUCACUUAUAGAUGGACCUGCGCCGUAUUAGCUAGUUGGUAAGGUAACGGCUUACCAAGGCAACGAUACGUAGCCGACCUGAGAGGGUGAUCGGCCACACUGGAAUUGAGACACGGUCCAGACUCCUACGGGAGGCAGCAGUAGGGAAUCUUCCGCAAUGGGCGAAAGCCUGACGGAGCAACGCCGCGUGAGUGAUGAAGGUCUUCGGAUCGUAAAACUCUGUUAUUAGGGAAGAACAAACGUGUAAGUAACUGUGCACGUCUUGACGGUACCUAAUCAGAAAGCCACGGCUAACUACGUG